CGUGUAGGCGGCUAGGUAGGUCCGUUGUGAAAACUCGAGGCUCAACCUCGAGACGUCGAUGGAAACCCUCUAGCUAGAGUCCGGAAGAGGAGAGUGGAAUUCCUGGUGUAGCGGUGAAAUGCGCAGAUAUCAGGAAGAACACCCGUGGCGAAGGCGGCUCUCUGGGACGUGACUGACGCUGAGACGCGAGAGCGGUGGGGAGCGAACA
rnacentral:rRNA from 1 species